rfam:Myotis lucifugus cont2.15617, whole genome shotgun sequence.
GGCGGGGAUGAGGGGCCGAACCCUGGGGGGGGAGGGGCGGUAGCGAUCACGUGACGCGGUUUCACUGUUUACACGCGGAACGGCCGGAGCGUUUGGCCUCAGUCAGUCGUUGGGCUCCGUUUCGGUU